rnacentral:rRNA from 1 species
AUGAAUUGCUUAUUCUGGAACUAUUGAGGGGCGGGGAACUCUCGUACAGUUCGUGACCUCCAGGCUCUUUGUAGAGAUCAUUCCCCAAAGUUGGUGUUUUUGUGUGAAACUAGACAACCAAACCAUAAAAUGACCCCCUACCUGAGAUCCGCCGGUUUUGACACCGACAAGGGCUUUAUUAGCCAGGGAAAGAGUGGUGGCUUAGCUUUGUACUGGGAUGAAUCUUUUUCUAUCAAUGUCCUUGAUAUAAAUGAAAGAUGGAUUGAUGCGUAUGUGAGACUUUCCGAUGAUGAACAAAUGUGGCAGGUAACGUUUGUAUAUGGAGAACCAAGGGCCGAGAACAAACACCUCAUGUGGGAGAGUUUAUGCAGACUAAGAGGUACAUCAGACAUUCUGUGGCUAGUGGCAGGGGAUUUCAAUGAGGCAAUGUGGGAUUUUGAGCGCUUGUCUUCUACUCCUCGGCCCAGAACCAGAUGGUCGCCUUUAGGAAAUGCCUAG